rnacentral:rRNA from 1 species
UACAGAGGGGGCCAGCGUUAUUCGGAAUUAUUGGGCGUAAAGGGCGCGUAGGCGGCUUUGCGUGUCUUUCAUGAAAUCCCUCGGCUCAACUGAGGACGUGCGGAAGAAACUGCAGGGCUGGAGUCCGGGAGAGGAGGGUGGAAUUCCCAGUGUAGCGGUGAAAUGCGUAGAUAUUGGGAGGAACACCGGUGGCGAAGGCGGCCCUCUGGACCGGUACUGACGCUGAUGCGCGAAAGCGUGGGGAGCAAACGGG